ACGUUUUUUUGGGUGGCUGCUUGUCCUGCCCUUUGCCUUUAGCACUGUCAUGUUGUCGUGUUCUGGUGGAGCGUCUUGGUGGUGAUGAGACUGGCGUAAUAUUUGGAGUAGUCGUACCAGUACUGCUGCUUGUUUGCUGUUGGUGCAUGCAUCUGUUUCAUUCAGCAUCUUACACACAAAGUCAUACUGUAUGGAUCAAGUGGACAUACAUAUCUUUAUUGGAUGUGGACAAGGCCAUUUAGCUUGGAUUCCAUUUCAGCUUUUAAUUACUGCUUUUGAUACUCACAAUCAAGAUGAGGGGAGUGUGGAUGACGUCUUGGAGGUGUGUCCAAAAUUUGGAGUGGGGGUACAGAACAUACGGACGAUAAUCUUCGUGGCGGGGUAGCCUGCUGUGUUUGUGCCGGGACAUACGUCCUUGCUUUCUUUUCGGCCACAGGUUUUUUGUGGUGAUGUCUUACAGAAGUGCCACUUCUGCUGCUCCAUACUUCUUUUGAUGGACCUUUUAAUGAAAGUGCAAUUUUGUUAUGGCCAUUCCUUU